AUUGAACGCUGGCGGCAGGCCUAACACAUGCAAGUCGAACGGUAACAGGAAGAAGCUUGCUUCUUUGCUGACGAGUGGCGGACGGGUGAGUAAUGUCUGGGAAACUGCCUGAUGGAGGGGGAUAACUACUGGAAACGGUAGCUAAUACCGCAUAACGUCGCAAGACCAAAGAGGGGGACCUUCGGGCCUCUUGCCAUCGGAUGUGCCCAGAUGGGAUUAGCUAGUAGGUGGGGUAACGGCUCACCUAGGCGACGAUCCCUAGCUGGUCUGAGAGGAUGACCAGCCACACUGGAACUGAGACACGGUCCAGACUCCUACGGGAGGCAGCAGUGGGGAAUAUUGCACAAUGGGCGCAAGCCUGAUGCAGCCAUGCCGCGUGUAUGAAGAAGGCCUUC
rnacentral:rRNA from 1 species